UUAUAUUAAAUCAUAUCUGGUUGAUACACGGCUUCAGUGACCAGUCUUUAUGGGCGAAAACCCUAGUUAAAGUAAAUCUCCAUAGUGACUCAUGUGAUCAUGUUGGUGGAAAUAUAUUUUGUAGUAGGGCCAAGGUUAUGUGACCGCUACAGUGUACUAAAAAAAUACGCUGACAUUAUAUAUACAUUGUUAAGUUAUUUUAAUAACAUUGAGAAAGUCAUGGAUUGUUUUGCAUGUAAGUAAGUCUAAGGGAGGCAAAGACUUUCUGCCUUCAGUCCCAUGUGAAACGACACGGAAGCAGUCUAUUGGUCUACAUUGUAAUUAUGGGGAACGAUAUCCUUGGAGAAUAUUAAUUCGGUUCAGAAUGCCCACGGUAGGUCUUUGACUGGAGUUUGCCUAUGUGUUGUCAUUACGUCACAAAGACUGAUUGCCGUGUCAUAAAUUUGCCAUAGCGCGAGUAUAAAAGGGUCUGGAAUUUGACAUCGAUUCAUAAUUGGAUUUGUGAUUGAGGUGACCACUACAGUGUAUAAAGAUGCUUUGCUGUCCUUGUAUUCCUCUGAGGAAGAGGAAGAAAGUCCAGGCAGAGCCAUGCUUGGAGAGGAGGCCUCGUCACUGGCUGAGGAGAUUAUUUAGAAAAAACAAGACUGGGGAUGCUGGUAUACCUGCGAUCCUGGAGCCAAGCCCUGUGUCAGGGGACGUCCCUCAGAUCUCCAGCACCCUAGCUACCCUUGAGUCCUCCACACUGGUCA